GACAGAACAAUCUGUGUAUUUUUGCAAUUGCAGUAAGUAGCUGUAGAAAGCAUUGUGAUAACAUCAAUAGAAGCACAGUAUGGUAAUGUAAAAUUAAUGAGCAAGAUGGCAAUCUCCUCUUUCGGCAAAUCGUGUUUUGUAAUACAGCACACCCUCUCAAUUAGUCUGUUCUCAGGGGCCAUAAAAUGUGGGUAUUGUGGUGAAAUGAGGGUUCAGAGAUGUGGGGGAUCACUGAAGGAGAUCAAUUGGAUGGAUACACAAUGAAUAAGGGCAGAAUAUGGGUUAUAAAGGGAUGUAGAUGACCACAUAGAGCAUUGCUGCUUUUGAAUUCAUUCGUUGAUUCCCCUAUAAUGAUCAGCAAUAUGGUUGAAGUCUAACUGACUUGUAUUUAGCAAAAUAAAGUGAAUAACUCAGUAAACAAAAGUCACCAUAGAUGGCAACCCCCUUUUUCUGCUUUCCCUAAGUGGUGGGUGUGCAGCAUCUAGCGAGGCCAACAAUACAUAAGCUAAUCUUGCUUCCCAUAGUAAUUAUUACUUUCAUCACUGAGACUGAGAUUAACAUUUCCCUCCGUGUAGAGAUCCAAAUCUUGUAAUAAAUACAGAACUGGAUUCUUAACCAGAAGGGCUACAGGGCACACUGAGACUCAUUGGUUCAAAACUGUUGAAUUACAGGAAAUCAGAGAGUGGGAGGAACAAACUUUGGAGAGGGUCCAAAUUGUGUGUUGCCUCAAAAUAAUUCCAGAGGAUCAGAUGCCACUGGAGCACUGACGAGGCUUGAAUGUUGGGCCGGCCCAAUCUCAAGCUGAAAUAUAACUGCUGUCAUAAAAGGUGAUUAGGCCAGGAAGGCUCUGUCCUCACGAACGGUUUAACGCCGCCAUCAUGGGUGUGGUUCAUGAUGAAGGUGAAUUCUCAUCCUCGUGCCUUGUCUUGUCCUCAUCCUUUUGCCAUCGGGUGGCACAGAAUUGCCAGAUGCUGGUACUUGGUUUUACAAUUUCCAGCCUCCAGAACUGCAAGAAAACACAUUUCUUUUCUUUACAAAUUCCCCAGUCUCAGGCAUUCUGUUACAGUAGUACAAAACGGACAGAGACAAGCACACAGAGAAGUGUGCUGCAUAUUCCAUUCAGAUUUGGGAAGAUUUCAAAGGAAAUACUACUUUGUAUGGCUCGUUCAAAUUCCUACUUGGUAUUUGUAUUUAAAUUAUGGUUUCUUUUAUAGGCUUGUGGGCUGAUAAACAUGUUGAAAAUCUUUAGUGAAUGUAGUCAACAAGCUUUAAAAUGUUUAUUGUUCUUAAAAUUUUGAUAUGGCUGUUUAGGAAAUGGAAAAAAUGUGUGAAUCUGUAAAUACAGUAAGCAAUUAAUUUGCAAUCUUAACUGUCCAUAGAAAAACCACUCUUGCUAUUUUGGUAUAGAACUCUCCUGGCCACGUCACUGGACAUUUUUCUCCUUGACAGUGAAAGGUUUCCCUCCUUAUGUGCAUACUCUAUCCUCGGUUACAAGUUCCACUGCAAAACAAUGUCUUUGGUAAGGCCAAGAGGAAGGAUAUACAGGUGCCCAAUGUGUUGGAGUUAUGCUACCAGAUGGUCCACUAGGUAACAGGUCUUUAUUUAUUUUUUCUUUUCAUUCUUGUACUGUUUCACCCUCUGCCUUUAUUGGGAUUGGGAAUAUCCACAGGGAUGGACCAGCCUGGGGAAGGUAAAGGCUGCUAAGUGACUGAGGAGGUCCUGGGAGAAGUGAUGGGAGGCACUGGGACUACCACACACCCUCUGCCCCUGGGGAUCAUUUCCAGGAUGUAGAGGGGUAACCGGAAGUCCUCAGCUCUGCGGAACCGUCCUCUGGACUCUGCCAUGGCAGCAGACGGAGCCUGGCUGAAGGGUGAAUGAAUUAUCACAUGAUCAGGAGUCCAGAGAGGAAUGUGGCCCACACAAGGUGUGUUGGAGAAAGCAGUGGAAGAUGUUUUGGAAGACUGUGACUACAAGGUUGAAGAUUUAGGACUCUAUUUCAUGGAAAAGGGAAGCCAUUCACUGAGCACCUCUGAGUAAGAAAUGAACACAAGUUUAUGAAGAUGAAUCUGGGAUCACUAUACACAUGGGUAAGAAUUUGGGAGAGAAUUUCAAGGCAGUUGCAGGGUCCUAAGAAUGACACAAAGGGUCCAUGGAGGUCACCAGGGUAUGGACUAAAAACAGGGUCCCGUGGACAAUGACAAGGUGUUGCUUUUCUUGUGGGAAGACAGGAAAGUGGGCCUGGUUUGACCUGUGAGAAGCUUUGGGGUAGGGAGGUCAGUGGGGACUGAGAGGAUUGGCGGGAAGGUGAUGAACUCAGAGCUGGGUCACAAACUCUGCAGGAGGCAAAGGCUGCUGAGCCUCAGCAGCCCAUCCUGGAGCCAGUGGUGCCUUGGGGACUGGGAAGUGGCUGUGGGCCUCCUCCCCGAGCCCUUGUUUUUCUUCCCCAUCCUUUCUUUUUCCUUUCAUUGCUUAUAUUAUUCAAGUUUUCUCCUCUGAGAGUUUUUCCUGGCUGAUAAAAUAAAUUGCUACAGAGAUUCUGGCUCCGAAGUCAUUCUGAUUGAGCUCAAAGGCAUUGGUCACACGGCUUAACUUUGCUGCUGUACCAGCCUGGAGGAGAGGGGCUGGUAAGGAGGAGAAUCAAGUGGGGCUUGGUGGCUAAUUAGAUGGGAAAAUAAAAGCAAGAGAGAGACAACAGUGACAUCACUAUUUUAAGUCGAAUGACUGGGAAACUUCCCCAAAGACAGGGUUUUGGGAAAGAUGUAAUACUUACAGAAUCUUGUUGAUGGGAGCUAAAAUAAAGCUCUUUUAGUCUAACCUCACUUCUGGUGCUCAGAUCCCCUCUCGUUGCUCUUGCCAGAAUAAUUUUUGGCCCAGGUUAGAUAUCUCCAUUAACAAGAGACAUUUUAUCUCUUCAAGUACUGUAUUUCCCUUUGGCGUUUUGCUUGAGAUGUCCUGAACUCUUGGUGAAAAGAGGCUAUUCAGUGCAUUGGAAAUGCGGGAUUCAAGUCAGCAGAGAUGGGAGAGAAAAACAUUCAGGCCAAGGUGAAGACUUGACAUUGUGACAAGUAGCUAUGAGAAAUAGUCUCUGUGGAGACAAAGAAAGGCUGAGGAGAGAACCAUGGUCAGCCUUCAGAGGACAGGAGAGAGAGAGAGGAAAAGGAACCACAAAAAAGAAGCCACUAGGGGAAGAAAAGAUUAAUUACAGUUCAGGGUCACGGAAGUUGAAGAAGUCAUAGGGAGUCAAGUAAUGGCCAUGUUGCAGAGAAUAAGCAGAAAGAGUAGGAAUUCUCUUUUGGCUCCUUCUGGAUUGGCUCUUCAGAGUUUGACUUAAUUAUCUUGUUAGAAGUCAAUUCUUAGACUAUGGGACAAACCUGUGUACACUCCAGGCUGAGAUCAUAUUCCAAAACCAAAUGUACAUUAUUUGAACCUGGGUUGGUACCAGGUUCAGUACACAAUCUAGCUAGCUUACUUCUUGUCAAAGAUAAGCAUUUGGAUGUUUAAGUCAGGGGACUCUGAGAUAAAAGCAUGUUGUGUCCAACAAAGACAGUGUUGAGGUCGUGUGUAUACUGUGUGUGCUUUCAUGGGAGUGACUUGACUCCUCACUCAUCUUCACCCUGAAGUCCUGGAUGCCGACUUAAGGUGGGUCGAGUGGUGAGAGCACUUUUGGAAGAGAAGGUCCAGGUCUACUCUCUGUGGUCACUGAAAGGCCAUUGAUGAUUUCAUUUUAGCCUCUACCGGACAUUUCUCUGUAUCACAGAAUCACUGGCCAUGAAACUUGGUAGAAGUGGCAGUUUUGUCUGCUGCAGGGCCCGCACUGACAGGAUACAGGAUAUUGCAGACCAGACACGCUAUGUUUUAUGGCUGCUUUCUAAGAAAGCUCUGUGGUACCUGAGGUUAUUUCCUACAGCCUGGUACCCGAUCUAUAAAUCUGAUCAUUGUGGCUAGCUCAUUUACUUUGCUUUGUAGAGAUAAAAAUGCUGUUGACACAAGGGCCCAAAGUGACUAGGAGGUAAAGCUCCUCUUAGAGGAAAAAAAAAAGCUCAUCACAUUGAUUUCAAUGCACAGGUCUGAAAUUCACCCCUUAUUUACACUUUUUGGUCAAGUUGAGAAUUGCGACCAGGACAUGUUGAUCAGUUAGCUCAUCAGAAGGUGGACCCUGCUCAGGAGAGGCAGGUGAGGCGGGGCAUCCUGAUGGGAAGAAAGUGCCAUUGAGAGGGGCAUACCCUGAGUCCAAGGUGGAGGACGUGGUGGAACUUGAGGAUAGUGAGGGCACAGGGUUCCUGGAGGGAGGCUGAAGGAAGAUCUGAAGAUCAGAGUAAGCAAGCAGAGGGGUCUGGAGUCACAGCAGUGCUGUUUCAGUGAGUGCACAGUUACCCUUGGCAGCCUUGGGGCUCUCAUUUGGGAUCCCUGUGGACCCCCAAACCUAUGGAUGCUCAAGUUCUUUACAUAAAAUGGCAGAGUAUCUGACUACGGCACCCUCCUGUAUGCUUUGAAAAUUCUCUGGAUUGUUGAUUAUAAUACCUCAUGCCACCUAAAUGCUAUAAAUAAUUGUUGUACUGUAUUAUUUGGGGAACAGUGACCCAAAAAGGCUCUAUGUGUUCAGUACAGACGCACAUAAUUUUGUUCUCCAGUUGGUUGACUCUCAGGAUGCAGAACUCACAGAUACAGAGGAUUGAGUGUACUUAUGACUCACUAGUUUUCCUUUGUCUCUGUAUUGGGGGGCUGGUCCCUCUGGGAAGGAAUAGGCUUUCCUGAUCCCAUAGAGGACAAACAUGCGGGUAAGCCCAGAGAGAGGCCUGAUUGAAAUACUCACACACUGCAUACUCAGGAAUGUUGCUAAUGUUCCUCGAGUUUCUUUCAUCUGUUAAGUUGACUUGUUUAAAUCAGAAUGUUGCUCCAAAGGUCAGGUAUUAAAUACAACCAUCUGUAUAAUGCCUGAUACCAAUCAAUGUUCUUUUUCUUUCUUUGCCACUGCAAAGCGCUUGCUCUACUAACAGGAGACUGUGGAGGCUGAGGGUGAGCAGCUGAAGAUGCACUUGGCCUCUCCGUCUGUGUGUUCUUGGGAAGUUCCAGCCCUUCUGAGAGGAGGAGGCUCCUCUGCCAGGGGCAGCAUGGCUCACGGUAUCAUGCAGGGUCUCGUGCUUAGUAGAGCCCUGGGUUUGGUUUCAUGUUCCAAGGUUGCCACCAGGGUGUUCUUAAUAACCUCGGAAAUGGGGACCUUGUUUUCAUUUUGCUUAGGACCCACAAAUCCUGCAUCUGGUCCUGGACACAGGACAUUUACCCUGUUGCAAGUGUAAGCACUCUGUCCCCACCUUCCUAAGGGGGGAGCCCAAAGGAGGUGCCAGGCAGCCAGCUGCCUGUGCUGGAGAGAACACAGGAGAACGGAAAAAAGCUCUCAGAAAAUCCUUCGGCAUGAAAGAAUCAAAAAAAAUGGAAUGAAAUAAAUUUUCCUUUUACUAAGGUCUCCUUGGCCCAUGAAAGUAUUGUGGGAAGUCGGGAUGGAUAUUUAAGUGUAUUUCUACUCUACUUCUUUACAUUACAUGUUUGAAGCCUUAAAAUAUACAUAUUCACAUAUCCUUCAACACAAACCAAAUAAUACAGCUGCCAAAGGAUUGAAGUAUUUUGGGAAACAUUUGUUCCUCUUACAUUUUGUUGAUGUCUAAACACAGUCCUUUGAAGUGAACAUUCCCUGAUCUAAGUUAAUUUAUUCAUAUCUUUACAUUGACUAUCUGGGUGGUUUUUAUGACAAAUUGUGCUGAAGCUUUGUUUCAGACCCCUAAAACCAAUGACCAAGAUGUGUGACUUUAAUAAACGUGGUGAUUUAUUUUGUCUAACCUGAGCUCAGCCUCCUAGAAACUGCUGCUGACACGGAUUUGCAAAGAGGAGAAAUCACAGUGCUUAUGAAAUCAGCUGCACCUGACACUGGUGCUCGAUGUGGGAGUCCACAUGGAAGCCAAUAUGAAGUGGGAUUUGUUCAAGAAGAGAAAGAGUCAAGAAGAGAAAGAGCUAAACCAAUUCAGCACAGGGACAUGGGUCAUAGUUGCAUUUAAAGCAAUCAGAAGAUGCUAUAUAAGGAGAUGUUUCAUCACUGAAUCUCUUUGCCUUCAGUCUAGGGAAGUUUUGAAAGACUGAAUUGCAAGACAAAGGCAUCAAGAUAACAGUGCACACAGGGACCUCCUUGGGGAGCAGCCUCCCUGCAUCUUGGUGACCCUUUCCUACCGAAGACCCAGAGGGGCUGAGACUUGGAGAAGAAAGACCUGGAGUCUGCAUUGUUUAACCACCCCUGGGCCAAGGCUGAGCACCUACACAAUGGAACUCACUGUUGAAAAACAAAGAAAACAGGAACAGAUGAAAGAUUUCGUUUUGAUUUUCCUCUAGAUUUCUGACCAGUCUGAGGAGUUGAAAUGCCAAAUUACCAUGUGAAAGUCCACUUUCCCCAUAGAUACUGAGCCUUCAUCUCAAACAAAACAACAAAAAACAAGCACCACAAACCUUAUCACCACAGUAAGAAACAAUCCUGAGCAUGGUGUCCUACACCAAAGAAGUGUGCGUGAGCAUCUAAAAUUUUAAUUAAAUGAAUUAGUGGACAUGAAAGGGUGUUGCCAAGUAUAAAGUGCCAUUUAAUUGCCUCGUGUUAUUAUUAUUAAUUAAAAUCAAUUAAACUUCAUGUGAAGCUUGUGUCCUUUUAUGAGAAAUAUGCAAAUUUGUUCUUAGAUAUAGUACUUAAUUGGAAGAUAAAAGUAAUUUUUAUCAUGGAUGGAAAACAAGUUAGAACCAACUGAGAACCAGGAUGACUGCAAAAUUCAGAAAAACAAAGUGAUGCUGUUGAAAGUUCGCUGAAAAUUGAAAAAACAAAAACUUCAUUCCUAAUUUAAUAAGUGGGGGGGGUAAGAAAUUUCACACUGGAACAUUGACAAGCCAACAGGAGGCUAUCAGCUGGUUUGGAAAAUGGAGAGAAAAGUUAGUUCUAGGUUGCUAGGCAACAGAUUUCUAAGCUGAAUUCUCUAUAUUUCUUAAAGGACUGGUUCAAUGUUUUGGUUCUACAAAUACUAGCUAUUUAUUUACUUAUUCACUGUGAAUUAGAAUGGUUGCUCUCAGAAUAAAUCUGGCGAAGCCAGGAAGAGCACAAAUGCAGGCAAUUAGAAUAUGAUUAGGAAGACAAAAGUUGCCUACAUUCUAAGGCAUUAGUGUGAAAGGGGCGAAGGGCUGGCUACCUAAUGCCACUCUGACUAACAUAGAUUCUGCAGUAUAUGGCCAAGAUGAUUCUCAAUUACAGCUUCAAAUCUCCAGGAAUUAGAGAAGACUGAUAACAUGUGUCAAGGCCCCGGCCCUCGGGAGGUCAGCCCUUGUAGGUCGAGGCUUCAUUCACACACAGGACCAUCCCUGCCAGUUCUCAGGCGUUGUUACCAACCCCGGGAAGAAGGGGGCUCCAGGGGUCCGAUAAUACUCAGCCUCAUGGUUUUGCAAACUAAUCUGAGGACGGAGAUGGAAUCUGCGGCCUCUGAGAUGAAAGCCCCUCUGGAUCUCUCUCUUAGCAGAGACACUUCGUCAAGUUUCCCUAGGAGGAGUCAGAUGCAGAGCUCGAGGGUGGGAAGGAAAACACUUUUGGCACUGGAGAAGAGGGGAGGACUUGAUUAAUGUUCAGCUAGGGAGUGGACCGGUUCUCAGAGAAAGGAAUCUUUGAUCAAUGGGAUGAAGAAGCAUCUUUCAAACCCCUCGUUUUCCAGCCACUUUAAAAAGGAACAAAAAGAAGCUGAUUCCAAAAAAAAAAAGCUGAUUCAGAGCACAGCUGUUGUUAUUUAAAAACAAAAGCCAAAGAGGAAGAAGCAAAAGACAAGAAAAACUAUGCAAAACAUCAUUUCAGUUGGAUGACCUGGAAGAGCAACAAGUGAGCAAAGUCUCCUCAGAACUCAGCUCCAAACUGCAGGGGUGGUGUUGGGGCCACUCUGUGGGAAUAAACCGAGUCUGAGAGAGACAAAGCAAGAUUUCUUCACGGGCCAUCCUUUUCCCUGCAGAGCUGAGCAUAUAUCUGGGUGAGGACAUUUUCUUGAGAAAGCGGACCUAUCAAAGAGUAGGACAGGAAGCAGCUUCCACGUUGCCCACCAUGUUUAGGACAUUCCCAAAUGGGUUAUCUGAUUUAAACGGCAAGCUUUCCCCUGGGAAUGCAUUAUGAAAUUGCUAAAAGACAUGUAGAUCAUGUGCCCCUACAUUAGAACAACUAAUGGGCAGAUGCAUUAGGAAGAGUGAGUAAUCAUUUUUGUCUCCGGUGUUCCACAUGCAACUUUAUCCAACCGGAAGCUUUUGAACUCAGAUGUCAGUUUUUCAAGUCAGCUCUUUCUAGAAGCAUGUUUGGCCUCUGAAUUGUUUUCUCUCUGUUUAAUAGGCAGGUGUUAAUUUAAAGUUUUCAGAUGUUUCACGUGUCUCUUCCAAUCCUCUUCUAUGAAGUAUUGCAGUGUGUUGUUUUAAUGAUUUGUAGUUUCUCCUAAAAGAGCUGGAGAUGUGAAGCCCAGGAACUUCAACUCCUUGCACUCUGCGGGCCUGUGGGUAUAGUCUAGGAUGAGCUGCAGAAACGUUUGCAACUGCUGCAGCAUUCUUACUCUUUUCACCUUUGCUUCCUGCAUAUCUGGUUGAAUUGCUGCUGCUCAAAACUUUUAACAAGCUUCACAUUUAGAAAGCCUAUCCUAGUGUGCCAUUCUGGUGAAGGCAGUGUCUGCCUUGUUACACACCUGUCUGGUGAAAGGAAUCAGUCUUAAGCGGCACGGUUGUCCCAUUGCAGGGCUGCCUGUGACCAGGACUCGGCCAUCGCUAAUUCUCUAUCGCUGCGUGUCCUCAGCAUUUGAUCUGUAGGGUUUCAUGGUCAAUGUCCAAAUACUUGGAAGGAAGUGCUUGCAGUAAUGAUUCCAGUCACAGCGGCUACCAGUCAAAGCCAGCUGGAGAGUAUGAAGAAAGAGGAGCGGGGCGAGCGGUCUACUUGAUUAGAGCUUCCGUGACCCUCGGCUCAGAAACUGCCUCCUCCCCGGGAGUCCAAGGGAGCCCCUGGGGUCCACUGAAGAGCUGUGACACAGCAUAUACAGCCCGAGCCCAGAGCUCCCCUGCAGCACAGUGUGCGGCUCCUCAUCUCAGCUCUUUGACUUCAUCGGGGAGUCCUGGUCCCUGCUGCCCAGUGUCCAAAGGACCUGCCGGCCGCCUUCAGAUGGGUUUCUACUGUAUUUUCUGGGGUGUCACUGUCAGCGCACUGCUGAGAACAUCAGUCACCGCGGCCCUCUGUCCUCCAUCUCCAGCGCAGCCCUCUGCCUGCGUGGAGGACGCGGCUUCAGAACCAAAUGUAUCGAUCCGAGCCCGCUAGAGCCUGGGCUUAAUGUGUGCCCCGAAAUGAACCAGCCAUUCCGCGUGGCGCUAAAUCAUUUUUUUCCGCAAGUCGGGAGAAAAUGGCUCCAAGGAGCAUUUGAGAUUGAAGAUCACAAUAGCUAAAAAGCUGCAGGAGGGGAAAAAAUUAAGUUUUUCAGAAUUGAUUACAAUAUUUCUAAAGAGAUUCUUUAUCUUUUCACAAAAUCAAACUUUCCAUUUGGACUUGUCAGUGUUCGCUUUUUAGUGAAACCUGUUUUUAUGGUUCUUUUUGAUUAAUGGAAAGGAGUCGUAUUUUUCUUCACUGUAAUAAAAAUCAAGCUGUCUUGUGGUGCCCUUCGCAAUAGAAAUCAAGGGAUGAUUUGAACAGAAUAUUAAUAGCGCUCUUUUAAACUUCUGGGCUUUAUCCUGUUUUAAUAAACUAAAUUUUAAGCUAAUCUCUUUAGAACACAAUCUACAUUUUGUGAAAAUAUGAGCAUUUAUCACCGAGCUCGAUGGCAAUCUUUCCUACAUUUCUUCCUAUUUACAGAUAGAAGGGAAAAGAAAGGCUGUGACUACGUUCCUUUAUGUAGUCCAUGCGCUGAAUGGGGCUGACGGAAUGUGUGGUUAGAUUGGACAUCUCAAUCAUUUAUUGCAGCUAUUGUUAUAGUUCAGAAUUCAUAGGGCAUAAUUUUUAAUUCAAGGAUACAGAAUGGAUCUCUCGCUUUUAAAAAACGAUUUCUCAGUUUCUAGUGAUGUCUUUUUAGAAUCAGGCUAUGAUCUAAUAACACGAUAUAGUAUAUUUCACUAUGCAUUGAUUUAAUUUAAUUCCAUCCUACAGGAAAUCUUGGAACUUUUGCCAAUUAAGAUGUUUUCCAGCUGCUCUGAGACCCUCUCAGAAUCUUUAGUGGACAACAGAAGUAUUUUAAUGUCUGUGGCUUAGCAUCUCUCUUAUGUAGGAGUUCUUAGCUUUUUAUGCCACCAUAUUUGAAACAAAUCAUUCCACGAAAAUAUUAUUUUUCAACUUCUUUUCGUAAUUUUCCCCCUUACACACACAGGAGCCUUUUUGGAUACUUUUGCCCUAACUGUUCCCUUUUCCUAAGUACAGAAAUGUG
ensembl:lncRNA